rnacentral:rRNA from 1 species
UACGUAGGGGGCAAGCGUUGUCCGGAUUUAUUGGGCGUAAAGAGCGUGUAGGCGGCUAGAUAGGUCCGUUGUGAAAACUCGAGGCUCAACCUCGAGACGCCGGUGGAAACCAUCUAGCUAGAGUCCGGAAGAGGAGAGUGGAAUUCCUGGUGUAGCGGUGAAUUGCGCAGAUAUCAGGAGGAACACCUAUAGCGAAGGCAGCUCGCUGGGACGACACUGACGCUGAGACGCGAAAGCGUGGGGAGCGAACAGG